AUUCCCUAUGAUGGCUUAACAACCAUGCUAAUGCUGAUUUCUUGUGACCGAAACAACGUUAAAUGACUGAGGGAAUA
rnacentral:snoRNA from 14 species